rnacentral:rRNA from 1 species
AUUGAACGCUGUCGGCAGGCCUAACACAUGCAAGUCGAACGAGUGGCGGACGGGUGCGUAAUGUCUGGGAAACUGCCUGAUGGAGGGGGAUAACUACUGGAAACGGCAGCUAAUACCGCAUACCAUCAGAUGUUCCCAGAUGGGAUUAGCUUGUUGGUGGGGUAACGGCUCACCAAGGCGACGAUCCCAAGCUGGUCUGAGAGGAUGACCAGCAACACGGGAAAUGCGACGCGGUCCAGACUCCUACGGGAGGCAGCAGUGGGGAAUAUUGCACAAGGGGCGCAAGCCUGAUGCAGCCAUGCCGCGUGUAUGAAGAAGACCUUCGGGUUGUAAAGUACUUUCAGCGGGGAGGCGUUACCCGAAGAAGAAGCACCGGCUAACUCCGUGCCAGCAGCCGCGGUAAUUC